rnacentral:rRNA from 1 species
UACGAAGGGGGCUAGCGUUGCUCGGAAUCACUGGGCGUAAAGCGCGCGUAGGCGGAUCUUUAAGUCAGGGGUGAAAUCCUGGAGCUCAACUCCAGAAGUGCCUUUGAUACUGGGGAUCUCGAGUCCGGAAGAGGUGAGUGGAACUCCGAGUGUAGAGGUGAAAUUCGUAGAUAUUCGGAAGAACACCAGUGGCGAAGGCGGCUCACUGGUCCGGUACUGACGCUGAGGUGCGAAAGCGUGGGGAGCAAACAGG